GGUUGCCAAUUUCAUGGACGGUAAUCAGAAGACAUGAGACUCCCGGGUCAGAGACAAGGACUUUAUGACUCAUGGUGCAGCAGGCAGCUUGAGCAAACGUUUGCUGAGUUUGCACCCCCAAAUCCCACGGGGAGGUGUGUGUGUGCAGUGGACAGGAGCCUUGAAUUUGGAGAGCCUGAUCUAAGAACAGUAAGAAUGUCUUCCCUUUGUUCUAGAAGGAGACACUGUAUCUUCCAUGCUGAUUGCCAUUCAAAUACCCUGUUUGCUGUUCAGAUUUCCCUCAGCUGGAAAGAUGUACCCAAAUCCCAGAGACACAUGGAGAAUGAUCUUUCAAUAAUAUGGACUGUGACACUCAUUUACACGAUUGUCAGGAGUAUGGAUUUUGACGGAACACUGCCGAGUCUGUCUCCAGGAAUUGCCUAUGGCCAAAUAAAGCCGCCCUGUGUCCACGGGGGACAUCUCUGAAGGGUCAUGGAGACGACCCCAGGUUCAGAGGUCCUAUACAUUAGUAUUUCUGCUGUUUGAUUAAUUCUGGUAUUUAUGCUGCACUUAUAUUUCUAUUGUUUGAUAAAAGAUUCUGUAUUUAUGAA